rnacentral:lncRNA from 1 species
CUGUACCCUGGGGGCUGCACAGUAAAUGGAUUAGAUAAAACAAGACCAAAGGUAGGAAAAGUUGGAUAUGUUUGCUGAAGUCUAGAUUAGGGAAGAGGUUCAAGGUAAUGAGGUUAGUAGCAAUGUGGCAAGAUGGUAAGUUCAGCUUUGAACAUGUUGAGGUGCCAACAGGUCAUCUGACUGAACACACCUGGGGAACACUGGUCUGAUGCUUGGAGGAGCAGAUGGGACAUCUAAGAAGAGUGUGGAGAGAGCCGGGCGCGGUGGCUCACACCUGUAAUCCCAGCACUUUGGGAGGCUAAGAGUGCGGUGGUUCGCAGUGAUCAUCAGAGCUGUGGUGCAAUAAGGUGCCAAGCUAUCUGGCUACAUCAGGUGUAAAAUGGGUAGCAGAAAGAAUUUAACCAGCACGGCUAUGUCUUAUCUUGGAAAGUUCAUAGGACAAAAUAUUGGAGAUAAUCAGACUCCCUGAGUAGAAAGAGAAAACAUACAUGUUCUGUUACAUCAGGGAGCAACUAACAAGAUUCUUGACUCUGAACCUUUUAGAGUUCAGUACAUGCUGCAAAUAAGUUGGAUUUGUUUUUCCACUGACAAUUUUUAUUUUAAAAGAGGAAAAGCUGUGUUCAUACUAAGUUUGCUUUUUUUUUCUAACAGUUGAGGCUUGAAGGCAUGAUGCAGCUGGAAACAUUAUUAAAAUGUAUUUUAUGGUAUGCACAUGUAUGCAUAUACUUAUGUAAUGUCCAUAUAUCACAAAUUAAUAAAAAUGUUUGUGUUCAUAAACAUAUGUAAUGGAGACCUUUGCAUCAUUUUGAUCUGUAGAACACAGACAAAUGUUCUUAGCCUAUCUCAAAGUUCUAUGUGUUUACUUAUUAUUUCUGUACAUCAUUUUCAGAAGAAAGGUUUGUUUCCAUAAUAAAAGUGAGC